UGGGGAAUUUUGGACAAUGGGGGAAACCCUGAUCCAGCCAUCCCGCGUGUGCGAUGAAGGCCUUCGGGUUGUAAAGCACUUUUGGCAGGAAAGAAACGUCAUGGGUUAAUACCCCGUGAAACUGACGGUACCUGCAGAAUAAGCACCGGCUAACUACGUGCCAGCAGCCGCGGUAAUACGUAGGGUGCAAGCGUUAAUCGGAAUUACUGGGCGUAAAGCGUGCGCAGGCGGUUCGGAAAGAAAGAUGUGAAAUCCCAGAGCUCAACUUUGGAACUGCAUUUUUAACUACCGGGCUAGAGUCUGUCAGAGGGAGGUGGAAUUCCGCGUGUAGCAGUGAAAUGCGUAGAUAUGCGGGGGAACACCGAUGGCGAAGGCAGCCUCCUGGGAUAACACUGACGCUCAUGCACGAAAGCGUGGGGAGCAAACAGG
rnacentral:rRNA from 1 species